rnacentral:rRNA from 1 species
UACGUAGGGGGCAAGCGUUGUCCGGAAUCAUUGGGCGUAAAGAGCGUGUAGGCGGCUUGGUAAGUCCGCUGUGAAAGUCCAGGGCUCAACCCUGGAAAGCCGGUGGAAACUGUCGAGCUCGAGUCCGGAAGAGGCGAGUGGAAUUCCUGGUGUAGCGGUGAAAUGCGCAGAUAUCAGGAGGAACACCAAUGGCGAAGGCAGCUCGCUGGGACGGUACUGACACUGAGACGCGAAAGCGUGGGGAGCAAACAGG